GACCGCGUAGCUCAAUUGGAAGAGUGUCGGUCUACGAAGCCGAAGGCUGAAGGUUCGAAUCCUUCCGUGGUCA
rnacentral:tRNA from 1 species